UAAAGGUUUGGUCCCAGCCUUUCUAUUAGUUCUUAACAGGCUUACACAUGCAAGCAUCCACACUCCAGUGAAAAUGCCCUUCAAAUCACCAAGACCAAAAGGAGCAGGCAUCAAGCACACUUUUUAGUAGCUCAUAACGCCUUGCUUAGCCACGCCCCCACGGGAUACAGCAGUGACAAAAAUUAAGCCAUAAACGAAAGUUUGACUAAGUCAUGUUAAUCAGAGUUGGUAAAUUUCGUGCCAGCCACCGCGGCCAUACGAUUAACCCGAAUUAAUAGACAUCCGGCGUAAAGAGUGUCAAGGAGUCAUAUAAAAUAAAGUCAAAUGCCAAUUAAACUGUAAAAAGUCAUAAUUAAUAUCUAAGCUAGACCACGAAAGUGACUUUAUUAUAAUCUGCAUACACGACAGCUAAGGCCCAAACUGGGAUUAGAUACCCCACUAUGCUUAGCCGUAAACUUAAAUAGUCUCAAGACAAGACCAUUCGCCAGAGUACUACCGGCAACAGCCCAAAACUCAAAGGACUUGGCGGUGCUUCGCAUCCUUCUAGAGGAGCCUGUUCUAUAAACGAUAAACCCCGAUUAACCUCACCAACCCUCGCUACUUCAGUCUAUAUACCGCCAUCUCAAGCAAACCCUAAAAAGGAGCAAGAGUAAGCAUAAUUAUCUCACAUAAGAACGUUAGGUCAAGGUGUAACUUAUGAGUUGGGAAGAAAUGGGCUACAUUUUCUAUAACAAGAACACCUCUUACACACACCACGAAAGUUUUCAUGAAACCUAAAAACUAAAGGAGGAUUUAGCAGUAAACUAAGAGUAGAGUGCUUAUUUGAAUAAGGCCACGAAGCACGCACACACCGCCCGUCACCCUCCUCAAGUACCACAGCUAGGCCCAAGUUCCCUAACCCAUGCCAAGCAACUACACUAGAGGAGACAAGUCGUAACAAGGUAAGCAUACUGGAAGGUGUGCUUGGACAAAA
rnacentral:ncRNA from 1 species